GAUGAACGCUGGCGGUGUGCCUAAUACAUGCAAGUCGAGCGAACAGACGAGGAGCUUACUCCUCUGACGUUAGCGGCGGACGGGUGAGUAACACGUGGAUAACCUACCUAUAAAACUGGGAUAACUUCGGGAAACCGGAGCUAAUACCGGAUAACAUGUUGAACCGAAUGGUUCAACAGUGAAAGACGGUCUUGCUGUCACUUAUAGAUGGAUCCGCGUCGCUUUAGCUAGUUGGUAAGGUAACGGCUUACCAAGGCAACGAUGCGUAGCCGACCUGAGAGGGUGAUCGGCCACACUGGAACUGAGACACGGUCCAGACUCCUACGGGAGGCAGCAGUAGGGAAUCUUCCGCAAUGGGCGAAAGCCUGACGGAGCAACGCCGCGUGAGUGAAGAAGGUCUGCGGAUCGUAAAACUCUGUUAUUAGGGAAGAACAAAUGUGUAAGUAACUAUGCACGUCUUGACGGUACCUAAUCAGAAAGCCACGGCUAACUACGUG
rnacentral:rRNA from 1 species